rnacentral:tRNA from 2 species
UGGUUCAGUAUCUCAGUUGGUAGAGAGAGCGUUUCAUAGGCGUUAGGUCGGUGGUUCGAGUCCACCCUGAACCAUC